rnacentral:rRNA from 1 species
AGUGAACGCUGGCGGUAGGCCUAACACAUGCAAGUCGAACGGCAGCACAGUAAGAGCUUGCUCUUACGGGUGGCGAGUGGCGGACGGGUGAGGAAUACAUCGGAAUCUACUUUUUCGUGGGGGAUAACGUAGGGAAACUUACGCUAAUACCGCAUACGGCCUACGGGUGAAAGCAGGGGAUCUUCGGACCUUGCGCGAUUGAAUGAGCCGAUGUCGGAUUAGCUAGUUGGCGGGGUAAAGGCCCACCAAGGCGACGAUCCGUAGCUGGUCUGAGAGGAUGAUCAGCCACACUGGAACUGAGACACGGUCCAGACUCCUACGGGAGGCAGCAGUGGGGAAUCUUGGACAAUGGGCGCAAGCCUGAUCCAGCCAUACCGCGUGGGUGAAGAAGGCCUUCGGGUUGUAAAGCCCUUUUGUUGGGAAAGAAAAGCAGCAGGUUAAUACCCCGCUGUUCUGACGGUACCCAAAGAAUAAGCACCGGCUAACUUCGUG